rnacentral:rRNA from 1 species
ACACUGGUCAGCUGUUACGAGAGGAAGAGCCCAGCACCGAAUCCUGCGCGCUUUGGUUGCUAGGAAAUGUGGUGUUUAGGACGCUCCUUCCGCGUCGCGUCGGUUCGCUCCAAGUCCACCUGAUUGUGGCUCAAGCCCAGAGAGGGUGUAAGGCCCGUAAGAGCGUCGCCGUGCGUCGUCAGCUGGAGCUGUCCUUGGAGUCGAGUUGUUUGGGAAUGCAGCUCAAAACGGGUGGUAAACUCCAUCUAAGGCUAAAUACUGGCACGAGUCCGAUAGCGGACAAGUACCGUGAGGGAAAGUUGAAAAGAACUUUGAAGAGAGAGUUCAAUAGUACGUGAAACCGCUUAGAGGCAAACGGAUAAAGCCGAAACUGGCUCGAGGUAUUCAGCCGUUCCUGGCGUCGCGUCAAAGCAACCCGAGGAUCUCUUAGACCUGUUGCGCGACAUUGCUCGUCGCCGGAACGGUGCACUUUCCUCGUCGCCUCUACCGCGACCGACAGGCUCUAUUGCGCCGCUAGCCGGCUGGGAGAAGGUGGCUCGGCUCCUUCGGAGCAGAGUGUUAUAGCUGCCGACGCGCGAGCGGCGGCUUGUCGGAUGGAAUUGCGGCGCCCGCCCUUUGGGCUCGCACGGUCGUCUCGUUAAGGGCACUUGGAGCUGCGCGCACUGCUUGUCAGUUCGCGCGGCUUCGCUCUUCUCUAUUGGGGCGGUCCUCUGCGAGCAGGCGCCAACAGUCGGCGGUUGUUUUUGUAGGUCUUUUAUCCGACCCGUCUUGAAACACGGACCAAGGAGUCUAACAUGUGCGCGAGUCAUGGGGUUCUACGAAACCCAAAGGCGAAGUGAAGGUAAAGGCCGUCUUCCAAAGACGGCUGAGGUGGGAUCCGGUUCCUAAACAUGGGCCGGCGCAUCACCGGCUCGUUUCGUUUGUUUUCAAAGGAGCGACGCUAGAGCGUACACGCUGGGACCCGAAAGAUGGUGAACUAUGCUUGCGCAGGUUGAAGCCAGAGGAAACUCUGGUGGAGGACCGCAGCGUUUCUGACGUGCAAAUCGAUCGUCAAACGUGAGUAUAGGGGCGAAAGACUAAUCGAACCAUCUAGUAGCUGGUUCCCUCCGAAGUUUCCCUCAGGAUAGCUGGCACUCGGGAAACAGUUUUAUCCGGUAAAGCGAAUGAUUAGAGGUAUUGGGGGCGAAACGCCCUCAACCUAUUCUCAAACUUUAAAUGGGUAAGAUGUUCGACUCGCUUAACUGGAGUCGGGCUCUGGAAUGUGAGUGCCCAGUGGGCCAUUUUUG